rnacentral:rRNA from 1 species
CCGUGGGUAGACUGCAGUCGAGCGCGAAUUUCAGUGUAGCAAUACAUUGAAGUUUGAGCGGCGCAAGGGUGCGUAACACGUGGGUAAUUUGCCGUGAAGUUGGGGAUAACUCGCUGAAAGGCGAGCUAAUACCGGAUGUGGAAUGAGAGUGGCAUCACUUUUCUUCUAAAGCUGGGGAUCGUAAGACCUGGCGCUUCAUGAUAAGCCCGCGGCCUAUCAGCUAGUUGGUGCGGUAACGGCGCACCAAGGCUAAGACGGGUAGCUGGUCUGAGAGGACGACCAGCCACACUGGAACUGAGACACGGUCCAGACACCUACGGGUGGCAGCAGUCGAGAAUUUUUCUCAAUGGGCGAAAGCCUGAAGGAGCGACGCCGCGUGGGGGAUGAAGGGUUUCGAUCCGUAAACCCCUGUCAUUUGUGAACAAUGGUUAUUCAUGAAUAAUGAGUGACUUGAUAGUAAUGAAAGAGGAAGGGACGGCUAACUCUGUGCCAGCAGCCGCGGUAAUACAGAGGUCCCGAGCGUUGUUCGGAUUCACUGGGCGUAAAGGGUGCGUAGGUGGCAUGGUAAGUUUGAUGUGAAAGCUCAGGGCUCAACCCUGAAAUGGCAUUGAAUACUACUGUGCUGGAGGUUUGGAGGGGGGACUGGAAUUCUCGGUGUAGCAGUGAAAUGCGUAGAUAUCGAGAGGAACACCAGUGGCGAAGGCGAGUCCCUGGACAACACCUGACACUGAGGCACGAAAGCUAGGGGAGCAGACAGGAUUAGAUACCCUGGUAGUCCUAGCCCUAAACGGUGCGCAUUUGCUGUAAGAGGAAUCGACCCCUUUUGUGGCGAAGCUAACGCGAUAAAUGCGCCGCCUGGGGAGUACGGCCGCAAGGUUAAAACUCAAAUGAAUUGACGGGGGCCCGCACAAGCGGUGGAGCAUGUGGUUUAAUUCGACGCAACGCGAAGAACCUUACCUACUCUUGAC